rnacentral:lncRNA from 1 species
CCCCAGAGCAGGUAUGACAUGUUCCUAACACAAAGCUGGGGGAGGAAGUGGUUUGAAUCCCACAUCUUGAUUUACCAAGCGGGGUAGUCACUCUUCGAAGUUUCUUCCUCAGCUUGGGGCCAGCCCAGACUGCAUGUGGUUUCCUCUCACUGUGUGUGCCUGCAUGUGUGUGUGUGUGUGUGUGUGUGUGUGUGUGUGUGUGUGUGUACAAAUGUGCAUGUGUGUUAGUUAUUUGCCUUUUACUGGCUCCGGGGUUUCUGUCCACCAGAGGAGCCCAGGGCUCUCUCUCAGACCUGCCCAACCUGCCGAGACAUUCUGGGACCCAGCUGGAUGCCAGUGGACACCCCACCGGCUGCCCCAGAAUGCGCUGAAAGUCAUUGAGAGGCACUGCUCCAACAGGACAAUUAUUUCUCGAGAAAGGGGAGAUUUGGCAUCCAGAUGCAGUUCUCCAAACCCAUCGCUGGCAACCCUCCACACCUCGCUGGGCCUCAGUUUCCCACUUCUUUUUGGAGACCACCAGGGUCUACGUCAUCCUACCUCACGGGUUGGUACAAGGCUUGAGGGGCUGGGAGAGAUGUGA